rnacentral:SRP_RNA from 1 species
GCCGGGAGUGGUGAUGUACUCCUGUAAUCCACCUACUCGGGGGCUAGGUAUGUAGGAUGUUUUAGGGGCGGGGGUUUUAGGAUUGGAUUUCCCACUAGGCGUCUACUAGGGGUACAUUUUCAACUGGAUGCUUUGGGAGAGCCAGAGGUAGCCAGGUUGAGUCUGAAAAGAGGAAAAAUCGGCCCAAAAGUCACCGAAUUGAGAGUCGUGGGAAUGGAAAUUUAAUUUCAGCUCGUCCAAACAAGAGCAGACUUGAACCUUC